ensembl:snRNA U2 U2 spliceosomal RNA
AUCACUUCUCAACCUUUUGACUAAGAUCAAGUGUAGUAUCUAUCUUUAUCAGUUUAAUAUCUGAGAUCGCCUUUAUCUGAGGACAAAAUAUUUAAUGGAUUUUUGGAAUAGGAGCUUGUUCUGUCCACUCUAUGCGUUGACCUCGUAUUGCAGGACCUCCGGAAACACUGCCCCCUCC